GUAUACGGUAAAUACGAUCAAUGGUCACGAUCGUAUUGUUAUGUCAUUAUUUAGAACGAAUUGAUUGCGCAAAUUGACAAACUCAGCUUUAAAAGAAAUUUUCAUUGUAUAUUUAAAUAUGCAAAUUAAGCAGCGGAACCUACCAAGAACGCACACUGUUUUAAUUAAUGGGAAUUGUAAUUGGUGAUAAUUAUUGAGUUAUAAAGCAUAUUCAACAUCUGGUGUGAAAUGACAGCGCAGCUAUAAUACAACGUGUGUCGACUAUUAAAACAAAUAAAUAUAAUGCGCUUAUGUAAAGAAGCAAAUCUACUCAUUUUUAACGCAGCUUCGUACCCAUAUUUAUUAUAAUCUUCUCUCAAUAUAAAUUAUAUGCAUGAUAGACCUCUUCCAACCGGAGCGCAGAAAUUACCUGGGGGUCAUAUCAAUAAAUAAAUACGUGUUAUACCUCUGUGUUCGUCACCGAGUUAAUAUGAUAAUUAUGAUAGUCCUUUUGUACAUCUUCGGAACCUUGCACUAUGCAUGUGCCGAUGAUGAUGCGGAGUUAUUGAGUUUGAAUCGUCCGCUUGAAGGGAUUAUGUUGGAUCAAAAUGAUGACCAGGAAUUAUUGAGUUUAAAUCGUCCCAUAAAGGGAAUCCUGUUUGACGAAGCAGCUGCUACUCCUGAGACAGGGGAGGCAGCUAAGCCCACAGGAGAUGGUCAACAUGGCAUUCAAAGUUAUAUUGAUAAAUUCGGAGGGUUUAUAAAGAAAAAUCCGGUAUUUCAGAAUUUUUUCCACCAAUAGAUAAAAAUAAAUACUACAGUUGAAUUCGUUGUUUUUUUUAAGUUACUCUCUAUAAUAUGAUCAAAAUUUUCUUUAUAAAAUAGUCUUUUAAAAGCUCUUUUGAAUCAUCGUAAAUCUAUCAACUCGAACUGUUUUAUCGCUGUAAAAAAAGCGGCGCAAGAAACGUCCUCACCGACAUAGUCUGUCAAAAUAUAAAGUUUGUAGUUUGUAUAGACGAUGCCGGUAUAAUAAUAUACUGUUUUUCUUUGUAUUAACAUUUUGACAAUCGAGUUAAUGGUAUGAGUUCUCACUUAGACACAAACUACCGUGCAAUGACGAAGAAAUUAUAAGUUACACUCUACAAAGACGUCAUUUUACAUUAGAAACUAUAAUAUCCAACUGAAAUUAAGAAAUAAAUACCUUCACUUAGAAUGGGAUAACAAGAAUUUCGUAUACAUAAGUAUAUGAUGCAAGAAAAUUAGUGCUCUAAAAAUGCUGGAAAGAAGUUCUAAAGUAAAUUUGGUUUAUUAUAAGAAACCAAUUAAAAGUAGAUUUCGAAUUUUAUACCUUGCAAUAUUGUAUUUACUGAUUGCAUAAUUCGUAACAGUAGGUACCUGCAAUGAAAACUAUGGAAAACCCACUACAUGUUACAAAUUAAAAGAUACAGGAGUAGAGAUAACACAGUACUUACCAACACGUAAUUUCUCAGCCGAUAAGAAUAAUUACAGUCGGUAAAAAUGCUUAUUUAAAUCCUGGUUUGAAGCCUAAAGUUUCAUUUGUGACACGACAUUUUGUGAACAUGUUUGCAAAGAUAUUUUUAAUAUUUAUUUUGAAGAAUAUCGUUAGCGCUAACUCCAGUAGCGAUAAAGAAGAAAUUAAUGAUGAAUGGCUACCACUUUUUGGAUCAUACGAAGAGCGACUUAAGCCAAUCAAAAUUAAAGAACCCAA